GGGGAGCGAAGGGGAUUAGAUACCCCCGUAGUCCACGCCCUAAACUAUGCGUGCUCGGUGUUGGGAGUUCAAUCUUUCCCAGUGCCCCAGCUAACGCGGUAAGCACGCCGCCUGAGUAGUACGGCCGCAAGGCUAAAACUUAAAGGAAUAGACGGGGACCCACACAAGCGGUGGAGCAUGGGGUUUAAUUCGAUAAUAAGCGGAGCACCUCACCCAGACUUGACAUCCCGAGAACGUUCUAGAAAUAGAGCAGUGCCGCAAGGAACUCGGUGACAGGUGGUGCACGGUCGUCGUCAGCUCGUGCUUUGAAGUGUACUGUUAAGUCAGCAAACGAGCGCAACCCUCAUCCUAUGUUGUUUUUUCAUAGGAGACUGCCGCCUCCAAGGCGGAGGAAGGUGAGGAUGACGUCAGAUCUGCGUGUCCCUUACGUCUGGGGCAACACCCGUGCUACAAUGGCCGGUACAAAGGGCAGCGAACCCGCGAGGGGGAGCCAAUCUCAAAAAACCGGUCUCAGUUCGGAUUGAAGUCUGCAACUCGACUUCAUGAAGUUGGAAUCGCUAGUAAACGUGAAUCAGCUACGUCACGUUGAAUAUGUUCCUGGGUCUUGUACUCACCGCCCGUCAACUCAUGAAAGGCAGGGGCGCCCGAAGCACCUUUAUUCUUCGGAAGAGGUACCACGGUGAAACUGCUGAUUGGGAGUAAGUCGUAACAAGGUAUCCGUAGGAGAACCUGCGGAUG
rnacentral:rRNA from 1 species